UACGAAGGGGGCUAGCGUUGCUCGGAAUCACUGGGCGUAAAGCGCACGUAGGUGGGUCGUAAGUUGAGGGUGAAAUCCCAGGGCUCAACCCUGGAACUGCCUUCAAUACUGGCGACCUUCGAGUCCGGGAGAGGUGGAGUGGAACUGCGAGUGUAGAGGUGAAAUUCGUAGAUAUUCGGAAGAACACCAGUGGCGAAGGCGACUGACUGGACAAGUAUUGACGCUGAGGUGCGAAAGCGGAUGGG
rnacentral:rRNA from 1 species